UACGGGGGGAGCAAGCGUUGUUCGGAUUUACUGGGCGUAAAGGGCGCGUAGGCGGUCGUGACAAGUCACUUGUGAAAUCUCCGGGCUUAACUCGGAACGGUCAAGUGAUACUGUCGGACUAGAGUACAGAAGGGGCAACUGGAAUUCUCGGUGUAGCGGUGAAAUGCGUAGAUAUCGAGAGGAACACCUGCGGCGAAGGCGGGUUGCUGGGCUGAUACUGACGCUGAGGCGCGAAAGCCAAGGGAGCGAACGGG
rnacentral:rRNA from 1 species